rnacentral:rRNA from 1 species
UACGAAGGGGGCUAGCGUUGUUCGGAAUUACUGGGCGUAAAGCGCGCGCAGGCGGCUAUCCAAGUCAGUGGUGAAAGCCCGGAGCUUAACUCCGGAACUGCCAUUGAAACUGUUUAGCUUGAGUAUGAGAGAGGUGAGUGGAAUUCCCAGUGUAGAGGUGAAAUUCGUAGAUAUUGGGAAGAACACCGGUGGCGAAGGCGGCUCACUGGCUCGUAACUGACGCUCAUGCACGACAGCGUGGGGAUCAAACAGG